UAAUGCAAUGUUAUUUUCUGGCUGUUCCUUUUAGUGUACUUACCCCGCCAGCCUAAUUGCCCUAGUUAACAAGUUUGGACAUAUGUUCGUCGACAUUUAGGUCAUUUGAUAAUUCUAUCUUGAGAAUGAUUAUUUGGUAACAGUAUGUCAUCAUCAUUGUCAGUAAUCAAAGUCAACACUCCUUCUGAGUCAAUUUUAUGCGCGACGAGGGGUUGUGGUCAUUGCAUUACGGUAAGAGCGCUACCGCUCACAUGGUUUGUCCUCUUGCGAGCGGGCCGUGAAAGAAGCUCAGACCGAGCCAACCUUUGUCUAAAAGUCGCCCACUUUUCCCUCAUUUUUGGGCUGAGACAUUGCUGUCACAAGCUUUGAAGGUUGACAUCUCAAGUGCAUUACAGGCCUUCUCUAUUUUAUAUCAGGGGUCUUCUUUUAUGGUCUUCAUUGUCGUCUUAUUGGAAUCUUUAUUCGGAUCUUCAUUUGGAUUAUUUUGUAUAAUCGGAGAAAGUGAAUUAAAUUAAAACUUAAUCAAGUGAAUCAGUGUAAACAACCGUCUGAGUGUUCCAGUUCAAUUCUACUUGCUUUCCACCUUACUCUAUCUUCAUGAGGGUGAACCUGACCACCCUUAUCAUCGUUGGGGUUGCCACCUCGCGACAAAUUUUGGCGUCGUAGACAGGAUCAAGGUGCGACUUCAAGCAAGCAAGAUUAAUAUUCGUCAUCUCUGAUUUACAGAAUUGUUUAGUGUGUAUUUCUUGUUGUCCUCAGACCCCUGAUAUAUUUGUUGUUCUUUCCCUUUUUGGGAUAUGUAUAAAAAAAAAUGUUGGCCAUGUAGGUCAAUUUAUUGUCCGCCUGUUCCCCAAUGUGGCCGACCAUUUUUCAUGGAGCAUAUUCCCUCCGUUAUUAUGAUUCAAGUCUAAGCGUCGGCCAUAUCCAUGUGCUGGUGGACUGAUCCCUGAUCUUGGCAUCAUUCAAGUCAAGACUACAUCUCUCUUCCAACAUGUGAAUUUAUUGUGUAUGGCUUAUUAAUUGUGGUAGCAUUUUCCAAAUUACACUGACCACAUAUUUAUUUGUAAACAAUUG